AAGGAGCAUGUCUGCGCGAUCGCCUCGAACAGUCGAGUGUGGUCGUGCCAGAGACCGUUUCGGAAGCAAUCGUCUUCCGGCGGGAGCUCAUGGGUGGAACGCUGGCAUGUGCCUCGAAGAUGCUGGGAGCCUGAGUGCUUCUGGUUCGGGGAUGUAGUCGACACACUGUUGGGUCCUGAAAGAACAGGCGUUCUUUCCAGGCAAAAAAUACGAUCCGCCCGGAUUUCCUUGAUACCUCGGGGUUUUUGAUUUCGAUGGUCUUGGAGUUCGAUUCGGUGUGGGUGUGUUGUUUGAGAACUGCACAGUGGACGCGAGCAUCUUUGUUA
rnacentral:misc_RNA from 1 species